rnacentral:rRNA from 1 species
UACGUUCCCGGACCUUGUACACACCGCCCGUCAAGCCAUGGAAGUCGGGUAGACCUGAAGGCGGUAACCGCAAGGAGCCGUUAAGGGUAGAACCGGUAACUGGGGCUAAGUCGUAACAAGGUAGCCGUACCGGAAGGUGCGGCUGGAACACCUCCUUU